CCUACACAUACACGCCUCUGAUAAAGUUCCACUUAUAAACUAGGUGCAGUAAGAGACCGACAACGUUAAUAACAGAAUAGACUAGAACAACGCACUGUAAAAGCUAUGUGAAUGUAAGCUCUCUCUCUCAAAAUAGCUUAUUGUGCUGUACUCACACUUCUUAUGCUGAUGUGACAUGGGAAAAUGCCUACGAGAUGAGAUGAAAUCAGGUGAGUGAUGUAGGCAUUGUGACAUAGCCUCAGGUUACUACUGGCCUUCUGAGGCUGUGUCACAAGGAGAAUUAUCUACUUCUGGAACUCGGUUGACCAUGGAAAGCAAAGACCAUGUAGAAGACGGGGCUACCGUGUAUCUUUUAAUAUUUAAGAGUAUAGGAUUAGCCCAAUGUCACAUAUGAGGAUUAGUAAUGUUUAACUGUGUGCUGCUCAUCCUGACAAUACGCUGUAGAGAGACUGGCUUCUUUGGAGUGUUUUGCUGGUAGCCAGUUGAAUCACCGGACCCAAUUUUGCCCAUCACAUUGGGAAGCAGAGCCCCACCUCCUGUCCUGGGAAGCCACACCUCCUCACUCUCUGCGCAGGAGCAUAAACCCAUGGCAAAAAAGCUGGUUGACCAGAUGUUCCCAUCCUCAAUAUUAAAUUUUAGGAGAAAUCUCCUAACACGCAGGACUCCAAGAGACAAAAGGUACAGCUUCUCUUAAGGAAGCUACAAGGAGCAGUAUCUGACACUUUUCUCCCCAAGCCUCCUGGAAUCCAGGGUAAGGUUUCGCUGAUUGACCAUCCUACCCAGGAAUGUCAAAUAGGAGACUCAAAGAGGGUGA
rnacentral:lncRNA from 1 species